CCCCUAGAGUUUUUAACACCCAAGAGUUGACCACUGUAAAACUCCAGCAAUUUGUUUGCUACAGUCCUGCGUUUCCUACUCCAGUACUGGUUUCCAUGGAGGUCUCAUCUUGUGAGUUUCUGCUCUGGUUUUCCUGCCCUCGGACUAGUUCCUGUGGUGAAGUCUGCUCAUGAGUCUCUGCUCUGGCAAGUGGUCCAGGUUGCAUUUUAAGUUCAUCCUUUGAAGUCCUCCUAUGCUCAAGAUACACAGCAAUGUUGAAAACAGAAUGCAAUUUUUAGAAGAAACUGUAUAUAUGUAUACACACACAUUUAUACAGAUG
ensembl:lncRNA